GAUGAACGCUGGCGGCGUGCCUAAUACAUGCAAGUCGAGCGAACAGACGAGGAGCUUGCUCCUCUGAUGUUAGCGGCGGACGGGUGAGUAACACGUGGAUAACCUACCUAUAAGACUGGGAUAACUUCGGGAAACCGGAGCUAAUACCGGAUAACAUGUUGAACCGCAUGGUUCAACAGUGAAAGACGGUCUUGCUGUCACUUAUAGAUGGAUCCGCGCCGCAUUAGCUAGUUGGUAAGGUAACGGCUUACCAAGGCAACGAUGCGUAGCCGACCUGAGAGGGUGAUCGGCCACACUGGAGCGGGGACACGGUCCAGACUCCUACGGGAGGCAGCAGUAGGGAAUCUUCCGCAAUGGGCGAAAGCCUGACGGAGCAACGCCGCGUGAGUGAAGAAGGUCUUCGGAUCGUAAAACUCUGUUAUUAGGGAAGAACAAAUGUGUAAGUAACUAUGCACGUCUUGACGGUACCUAAUCAGAAAGCCACGGCUAACUACGUG
rnacentral:rRNA from 1 species